rnacentral:lncRNA from 1 species
UUUCGCUAUGGGCGGGGCUACCCAGCGCGACGCGACAGAAAUAAAAACGAAGCGACCAACCGAAUGUAGUUUGACGCGGCCGGUUAAACAGAGUUUGUGCUGUGAGUGGAUGAACAGUGGGACGAUUAAAUUCUGAGUCCGGAGUUCUUGCAUGAGCAGAUAACCUCUACAUUAAUAAAAACCUGUGUAUGUGCGAAGAAAGUGUCACUGACUCAAAAGCACAAGGCAGAUGGUGCGAUGCGAUGCGGAUGGUUUGUGGGCGGGAGGUAUUUACUGCUGUAUAAUCCGCUCUGAUGUCACUGUGUGCCGCAGGAGGGGUCUGAGAUCGCCUAAUCCCAGUGUGUUGAUGAGAGCAGCCGACGAAGAUGAAGGCAAGCCGGACAGCUCUUCUUCCUCGCUUGUUCUCCUAACAGGUUUAUGAUUUCUGGGUGUUACUCAGCCUGUUCAGCAGCAUCUAGACAAUG